rnacentral:lncRNA from 1 species
CCACCCCAGGAGACCCCCACCCUGAACCCCGUGACCCCCCCAGGACACCCACUGGCCGGGGGGCUGGAGCCGUGUGGGAGGAAGAGGCAGAUGGUGGCCACGGUGGCCACAGCGGAGGUGGCCGUGCUGCUCAGAACGUCCCCGGUGGUCCCGGCAGAGCCGUGGCCCAGCGCCCCGGUGGCUUCGGUGGCAUUGGGCGGGGCCUGGGGCGUCACCGCCGUGGUCUCGGUGACAUCCAGGGUGGUGUUGGUGGCAUUGGGCGGGGCUGGCGUUGAGGUGACGUCAGCAGGGACAAUGGGGAGGGUGGACAGGGUGUGGCUCUCCAGGGUGGUGGCCCUGGUGGUGUUCCCCAUGGCCCUGGUGUCACUUUCCAUGGUGGUGGCCCUGGUGUUGUUCUCCAUGGCCCUGGUGUGGCCUCCCAUGGUGGCCACCGGCAUGGCCGUGGUGUCACUUUCCAUGGUGGUGGCCCUGGUGGCAUUCCCCAUGGCCGUGGUGUCACUUUCCAUGGUGGUGGCCCUGCUGAGGCCUCCCAGGAGCUCUGGCAGCAUCGUCGUGGUGUCACUUUCCACGGUGGUGGCCCUGGUGUUCCUUACUGUGGUGGCCACCGGUGUGGCCUCAGUGUCACCUUCCAUGGGGGUGGCCUCGGUGUCACCUUCUAUGGGGGUGGCCUCGGUGUCACCCUCGGUGACCUCGUUCUCACCCUCCAUGGCCGUGGUCUCUCCCUCCGCGAGGUCUGAGGGAGUGACCGCGGUGUCACCGUCCACGGCUGCGGUCUCACCCUCCAGGGUGGUGGCCCCGCUGUGGCUCCUCACGGACCAGCCCGUGACGUUUCUCACCCGCCGCUCUGGUGGCACCGUCGUGGUGUUGUCCCCUGUGGUGGUGGCCAUGGGGACACUGCCCCUGACCCUGGUGGCCCUCUCUGUGCUGGUGACCACGUCAUGGUCCAUGGUGGUGACCACGUCAUGGUCCGAGCUGGUGGCCACAUCAUGGUCAGUGCUGGUGACCACGUCAUGGUCAGUGCUGGUGACCACAUCAUGGUCCGUGUUGGCACUGACCAUCAUGUCCCUCUCUGUGGUGGUGACCACGUCAUGGUCAGAGCUGGUGACAACAUCAUGGUCCGUGUUGGCGCUGACCACCGCGGUGACCGUGCCGUUCCUUCCCAUGACGCUGCCACUGGUGAUGGCCCUGGUGACAUUUCCCACCGUGGUGGCCCCGGUGACACUUCCCACGAUGGUGGCCCCGGUGACACUUCCCACCGUGGUGGCCCUGGUGACACUUCCCACCGUGGUGGCAUUUCCCUCCUCAGUUCUUCCCGUGACAUUCCUCUCCCUCCUCGCCGGUGGCGCGUCCGUGCCGCUCUCCUCGGUGCCACCCCCCGCCGCCGUCACCGUCACCGUCACCGUGUCGUUCGUCCCCGCGGUGUCACCGACGUACAACGCCUU